rnacentral:rRNA from 1 species
ACUAGGAAUUAGAUACCCUAUUAUUUUGAAUGUAAAUUUUUACCUUGGGUUAGUAUUAGUUAUGAUCUUGAAAACUAAAGAUUUUGGCGGUAUUUUAUUCUAGUCAGAGGAACCUGUCCAGUAAUUGAUAUUCCACGAUAAAUUCUACUUUUUCUUAGUUUACAUAUCGUCGUGUUUUGAAUAUUUUUAUAGAAUUAAAAUGUUCAUGAUUUCUUUUAGAAGGAAGAUCAGAUCAAGGUGUAGCUUAUGGAAGAGGUUGAGAUGGGUUACAGUAAAUUUAUUUAAGGAUUAAAUUCUGAAAAAUUUUAUGAAUUUGGAUUUGAUAGUAAUUUUAACUAUUUAGUUAAUUUGAUAUUAGCUCUAAAAUAUGCACACAUGGCCCGUCGCUC